rnacentral:lncRNA from 10 species
CUAAGAUAGGCUUGUCAACUUUUUUUUCCUGCCAAACUAUCGACCAAAACAAGUACCAUCUACCUACCAUCGAUUAUCAAUUUUCAUAAAAAAAGGAAAGCUUACUUCCAAAAUAAUAGGACGAAUAUCAUCUUAGAAUCUCCUUCAGAAUGAAUAGAUUUAGCCUGUAAAGAAGAUCCAGCAAGUAGAGAUAGCAUUUCAAUAUUAAUAAAUCCUUUGAAUGAGUGAAGGUAGGGAGGAGAAAAGAGGUCAGUAAUCCAGCCUUGGAACAACUGGGAGCUGAGAUGAGACGGGGACCAGCAAAGAGAGGCAGGAAGGAGCAAUCCUGAGGACCAGAGAGGUUACAGGAGACAGAAGAGAGGAGGGGAAGAAGAUGCAAACCAAGAAAGAACCUCUGGUUUAUAACAGAAACUUGUAUUAAUGGUGCAGACACUGAAAUGCAGAUAUGAAAAUCUUCAUCAAAUUAAACAGCUAAACUUCUAAAAUCCC